GAAGGUUUCAACUUCAUUUUGGUCAAAGUAAUAAUUCUGCAAACUUUCACUUCGGCCGGACUAUAUCCGUUUUGCUGGGAUGAAGAGCAAGAAUAGUCUUAACAUCAAACAGCGUUCAGAGCAGCAUGACAGACAACAGUUGAUUGAUAUAACCAAAGAUAUUGAACGGAUUAGCUAGUAUUUAUCGUCAGUAGUGGACGCAGUAAGUCCAUUAAUAUGGAGUGGUGGUAGUUAUCGUCAGUAGUGGACCCUGAAAGUCCAUUAAUAAUGGUGGUAGUUAAAGCUACCCAUAAGUUUUAUACCUAGAGAAACUGACCGGGUUUGUUAAUUAAUAAAGGCUUAUAAAGAUUUGUCUACGCUAAAUU